AAGGAUCAUUGUCGAUGCCUCAAUCCAGAGAGACCCGCGGACACGUUUCAACACCCGGGACGGUCGGAGCUGCCCAGCAGCCCCGCCUUCCCAGAGCGUCGGGACUCGUCCCGGCGCGACAACCAACAAACCCCGGCGCGGAAUGCGCCAAGGAAUCAACAAUCGUACAGCGAGCCCCGUCGGCCCGGCAACGGUGAUCGCACGGGGGACGUCGCAACACUCGAGUCCAAAACGACUCUCGGCAACGGAUAUCUCGGCUCUUGCAUCGAUGAAGAACGCAGCGAAAUGCGAUACUUGGUGUGAAUUGCAGAAUCCCGUGAACCAUCGAGUCUUUGAACGCAAGUUGCGCCCGAAGCCAUUAGGCCAAGGGCACGCCUGCCUGGGUGUCACCAAUCGCCGCCCCAACCCCUGUGCCUCCGGCCACGGAGCGGGGCGAAUGCUGGCCUCCCGUGAGCACCGCCUCGCGGCUGGCUGAAAAUCGGGUUCGUGGUGGAUGCAGCGCCAUGACACACGGUGGUUGAGCGUGUUCUCGAGGCCAGUCAUGCGCGCGGCACCCACCGGCUCCGUACCCAGUGGCCCGCGAGCGACUACGAUCGCCCACGACGCGACCUCAGGUCAGGC
rnacentral:misc_RNA from 1 species